UAUAUAUAUAGAGUGAGGCUACUAUGCUAUCGGAAGCACGGAGCCUUCCGUGCUUUCAGCUCGCUUUCGAUGUUGCGACUUUCGAAUCGUCGAUCAGCUCCGUUAAACUUGAUCUAGAGUAUUUGGAGUACCUAGAAAAUAAAUUUUAUGAUUUUACGAUAUCAUUUGCCUAGUGAACGAAGGGUCUCAAAAUCAACGGCUGAAAAUAAAAAUCUUACAAAAUAUAAUAAUAUGACAUUAAAAUUUUAAAUCAAUGAUAUUGAUCUUGUUUUAUAUAGUAUAAAAAAUUUUCUAUCAAAAUUUCACGUGAUUUGGAUAUUUCUACACCGUUAAACUUGCAAACGGCUCACUACGGCCAUUGAAAUUUGUUGAUUUUGAGCCCAUUCAAUCAGUAGGCAAAUUAUAUCGAAAAAUAAUAAAACUUAUUUUCUAGAUACUUCAAAUACUCUAGAUCAAAUUUAACGGAGCCGAUCGACAAUUCUAAAGUCGCAACAUCGAAAACGAGCUGGAAGUACGGAAGGCUCCGUGCUUUCGAUAGCAUAGUAUCCUCACUCUAUAUAUAUAUAUAGAGAGAGAGAGAGAGAGAGAGAGAGAGAGUUGAGCUAUGAUACUUUUACAAGUAUCACCAUCAUGGUGCUAUUAGGUUUUAAGCCAUUGGAUCUACUUUUUGAUUAUUAAUGGGCCUUGGAUUAAACACUAUUCCACCUACCAUCAUCUACCACCACCUACCACCAUCAUCUCAACCUCACAUCUCUCCAUCCAAGGGCUAAAAAUACACAAGUAUCACCCCAAUAAUACUUUUACAAGUAUUCUAGCCCUACUAUAUAUAUAUAUAUAUAUAUAUAUAUAUAUAUAUAUUUGUAGUAUUUCUUUACUUUACAUAAUGUACAAUAUAGAGACAUUGCCGUUGUCAUUUUGGAAGUUGGACCAAUCACUUGCUAGAUAAUAUAUUUUUAUGUGGGACCAUAUUAGUGCCGCCCCAGUUUGUUUUUUGUCUCCUAUUUUGCGGGGCCUACAACUAGUGCUAGCAAUUUAGCUCAUUGUUCACGAGCCAGAUUAUGUUUGGAUCAAAAUGAGCUCGAGAUUAAUCACUCGGUUACUAAACAAGUCGUACACGAUUUGGGAUCAACUUGUGUUCAACUCGAUAUAACUCGAAUAUAAUAUAUAUAUCAGAACUGUUGUGUCCUUAGGAGUACGGAAGCUUUCGUGUUUCUGAGCCGUUUUCGAUAAUAAAAUUUUCGAAUCGACUAUCGCCUCCGUUAGACUUGAUAUAGCGUAUUUAAAGUUUCUAGAAAAUAAUUUUUACGAUUUUUUGAUAUCAUUUACUUAGUGAUCGAAAGGAUUCAAAAUCAAUAUUUUUUAAUGGUUGAUGUCUGCCGUUUUCAACUUUAACAAUGUAGAAGUAUUCAAAUCAGAUGAAAUUUUGAUACAGAAUUUUUUAUAGUAUCUACAAUAUGAUCAAUAUCUCUGAUCGAAAAUUUUAGUAUUAUAUCAUCAUUUUUUAUAGGAUUUUUAUUUUCAGCCGUUGAUGUUAAAUCCUUUCGAUUGCUAGGUAAAUAAUAUCGAAAAACUGUAAAAAUUAUUUUCUAGAAAUUCUAAAUAUGCUAGAUCAAGUCUAACGAAGUCAAUUAUCGAAUCGAAAAUUCCAUUAUCGAAAAUGACUCAGAAGCACGAAAACCUCAUGCUCCUAAAAGCAUAGCAGUCUUGCUCUCUCUCUCUCUCUCUCUCUCUCUCUCUCUCUCUCUCUUUAUAUAUAUAUAUAUAUUAGUUGAGUAUAGGUGUAAAUGCACGUAAUAAAUAUUUUAAUAACUAUCUCAAAUUAAUAUAAAUUUGUAUAUCAUAUUUAUUCAAAAAUUUAUAAUAUAAAAUUUAAAUUUAAAAAAUAAAUUUAUUUAUUAUAUACUAUUGAAAAUAUAUGUUAUAUUCCAACUCAAAUUUCAAUAGUUGUUGCCAUCAAUAAUUAUAUAAUUAUUUUUAUUUUAUAAAAUUUAUAUAUAGUGUAGAUAUAGAUAGAACUUGAAUAAUUUUCCAUAUUUUUUAAGUGUGAUAAAUUCAAAUUUUAAAUAUAUAUUUUAAACUAAAAAUAUCAAAAGUAAAAAGUUAAUAUAAUAAUAAAAUAUUUGUACACAGAAUUGAGAUAAUAUAUAAAUAUUUAUUUUAAAAAGAAAAGAUAUUGAAUGAUGAAAAUAUUUAAUAAAAAGAAUAAAAUAUUAAUAGUUGGAGAAAAAGGAGCAACUGAAAGUUUGUUUCGUUACGUUAUUUAUUUUGCGAACGAAAAAAUAGAAAUUUUGAAAUAAGUCUGUCGACAGACCGAAAUUUGAAAUACGUGCUUAUAUGUGUGUGUGUGUGUGUGUGUGUGUGUGUGUGUGUGUGUGUGUGUGUGUAUCCUUUGUACUAUUGAGUUUUCUACCGUUAGAUCUACCCUUUGAUCAUUUCUACCCGUUAGAUUAUACUAUUAAAACAACCACCCACUCAACCCUAGGGGACCAUUAUCAAUUUAACCGGGGACCACUAUAAUCCUAACCGCACAUCUAUUCAUCCAACGGCCGAAAACUCAAUAGUACCAAGGCUUGGUACUAUUAAUAGUAUAGUAGCAUAUAUAUAUAUAUAUAUAUAUAUAUAGUAGAGCUGCUGUGCUCUCAGGAGCACGAAGGCCUUCGUGCUCUUGAGUCGUUUUUCGAUGAUGGAAUUUUCGAAUCGACGAUCGGCUCCGUUAGACUUGAUCUAGCGUAUUUGAAGUUUCUAGAAAAUAAUUUUUGCGAUUUUUUGAUAUCAUUAUCUAGUGAUCGAAAGGAUUCAAAAUCAAUAAUUUUUAAUGGUUGAUAUCUGCCGUUUUCAAGUUUAACGGUAUAGAAGUAUUCAAAUUAGAUGAAAUUUUGAUACAAAAUUCUUUAUACUAUCUAGAACAAGAUCAAUAUUUCUGAUCGAAAAUUUUAGUGCUAUAUCACCACUUUUAUAGUGUAGAUCAAGUCUAACGGAGCCGAUCGUCAAUUUGAAAGCCACAUCAUCGAAAACAACUUGGUAGCACGGAGGCCUCCGUGCUACCGAUAGUAUACCAGCCUAACUCUAUAUAUAUAUAGAGUGAGGCUACUAUGCUAUCGGAAGCACGGAGCUUUCUGUGCUUCCAGCUCGUUUUCGAUGUUGCGACUUUCGAAUCGUCGAUCGGCUCCGAUAAACUUGAUCUAGAGUAUUUGGAGUACCUAGAAAAUAAAUUUUAUUGUUUUUCGAUAUCAUUUGCCUAGUGAUCGAAUGGGCUCAAAAUCAACAAAUUUCAAUGACCAUAGUGUGCCGUUUGCAAGUUUAACGGUAUAGAAAUAUCCAAAUCACAUGAAAUUUUGAUAGAAAAUUCUUUAUAUUAUAUAAAACAAGAUCAAUAUCUUUGAUUUAAAAUUUUAAUAUCAUAUUAUUACAUUUUGUAAGAUUUUUAUUUUUAGCCGUUGAUUUUGAGCCCCUUCGUUUACUAGGCAAAUGUUAUCAUAAAAUCAUAAAAUUUAUUUUCUAUGUACUUCAAAUACUCUAGAUCAAAUUUAACGGAGCCAAUCGACGAUUCGAAAGUCGCAACAUCGAAAACGAGCUGGAAGCACAGAAGGCUCCGUACUUCCGAUAGCAUAGUAGCCUCACCCUACAUAU
rnacentral:lncRNA from 1 species